AGGGUUCGAUUCUGGCUCAGGAUGAACGCUAGCUACAGGCUUAACACAUGCAAGUCGAGGGGCAGCAUUGGAGUAGCAAUACUCAGAUGGCGACCGGCGCACGGGUGAGUAACACGUAUCCAACCUGCCGCUUACUCGGGGAUAGCCUUUCGAAAGAAAGAUUAAUACCCGAUGGUAUAAAGAGUUCGCAUGUUCUCUUUAUUAAAGAAUUUCGGUAAGCGAUGGGGAUGCGUUCCAUUAGAUAGUUGGCGGGGUAACGGCCCACCAAGUCUACGAUGGAUAGGGGUUCUGAGAGGAAGGUCCCCCACAUUGGAACUGAGACACGGUCCAAACUCCUACGGGAGGCAGCAGUGAGGAAUAUUGGUCAAUGGACGAGAGUCUGAACCAGCCAAAAGUAGCGUGAAGGAUGACUGCCCUAUGGGUUGUAAACUUCUUUUAUAAGGGAAUAAAGUGAGGGACGUGUCCCUUUUUGUAUGUACCUUAUGAAUAAGGAUCGGCUAACUCCGUGCCAGCCGCGGC
rnacentral:rRNA from 1 species